rnacentral:lncRNA from 1 species
GUACAGAAUCAAGCAAGAAUUGGCUAGGUGAUUCUUCUGCUACACCUGGCUAGGCUUGGCCGAAGCUCAGGGACAGCUCCUCUCAUAUGCCUGGUACCUUGUGGAUAUCUGGAAAACUGAAUUCAUCAAGGCCCCUUUCCCUCAGCCAGUGAGCAUGACCUGCUCUGUGGCUUUACACAGAAUGCUCUGGGCGGAAACACUCCCUUGAAGCAUUGGAAUGUGACCAGACAUCCUAUCCUAGCUCCCACCAGCUGCAGCCUGAUUGUUUUGCUUAUUGGUGUUUAAUUAAAAACCAAACAACUUUUCCUAUUAACUUGAUGCUACUUAUUAAUUGAAAUGAGGAGACUGACUCUGGAUAUUGGGAAAAUUUAUGGGCACAUACAGAGGAAAAGACAUGUGGGGACAUAAUGAGAGGACAGCCAUCUGCAAGCCAAGAAGAGAAUCCUCACCAGAAACCAACUUGACUGGAAUCUUGAUCUUGAACUUCUUGCUUCCAGAAUUAUGAGAAAAUAAAUUGUUGUUUAACCCACACAGUCUAUUGUACUUAGUUGUAGCAGUCUGAGAAGACUAAUACAUUGAUAAACUGGUCAGUUACAACAAUGAAUAUAUUAUUUAUACAUUAUAUAAAUGAUUAUAGUUUCUGUAUUAGCUUAGAUUUUGCAAAUUUGUCAAUAGCUUUGUCCAAGUUGAUUUUCUUUAUAUAUUCCUAUUUCAUAGACUAUAUUAGCUAGAUUUGUCAAUCUAUCUUACUCAUAAUGACUGAAGAACACUUUUAAAUUCAAUUUAAAAGGUUUUUGUCACAUAAAGCAACAAAUAUAAAACUAGAAAAAAUAUAAAUAUGAAUAUAAAUUUGAAGGAAAUUAAUAAAAAUCGUAUUGUACCAUAUAUUCCAGAAAUUUUAAACACUGAUGAAAACUUCAAGUGGUACCAAGGAAUGAGAGAAUUGAAGUAAUUCAAGUGUUAUAUUUCAUCUUUUCUAUCACUAGGUUGUCAUCAAUUAUUUCAAAUCUGUUUUUUUUUUUAUUGUAAUUAAACUUCUAAGUUCAGGGACACAUGUGAAGGUUUGUUAUAUGGGUAGACUUGUGUCAUAGGGUUUUGUUGUACAGAUUACUUCAUGAAUCCGUUAUUAAGUGCAGUACCCAUUAGUUAUUUUUUCUGAUCCUCUCCUUCCUUGCACCCUCCACCCUCUGAUAAGACCAACUGUCUGUUGUUCCCUCUAUGUGUCCAUAUGUACUCAUCAUUCAGCACCCACUUGUGAGAACAUACAAUAUUUGUUUUUCUGUUCCUGAAUUAGUUUGCUAAGGAUAAUGGCCUCCAGCUGCAUGAUGCUCCUGCAAGGGGCAUGAUCUUAUUCUUUCUUGUGGCUGCAUAGUAUUCCACGGUGUAUAUGUACCACAUUUUCUUUAUUCAAUCUGUCAUUGAUGGGAAUUUAGGUUGAUUCCAUGUCUUUGCUAUUGAGAAUAGUGCUGCAAUGAACAUAUGCAUGCAUGUGUCUUUAUGACAGAAUGAUUUAUAUUCCUUUAGGUAUAUCCCCAGUAUUGGGAUUCUGGGGUCUAAUGAUAUUUCCAUUUUUAGGUCUUUGAGGAAUUGCCACACUGUUUUCCACAGUGAUUGAACUAAUUUACAACCUUCAAAACAGUGCAUAGGCAUUCCUUUUUCUCUGCUACCUUGCUAGCACUUAUUUAUUUAUUUUUGACUUUUUAAUAAUAGCUAUUCUGACUGGUGUGAGAAUCUUCUGCUUAACUCAGGAAUGUGUAGCUCCACGAGAGUAGCUCCCCAGCACCCAAAGAGAGCUUGAAGGAUUCAAAACCGUUAUGAACUUCCUCUUAAAAUGAACAUAUGUAGUUAUGUCUACAUGCAUCAGGGACUGACUGGAUGACUGAGGAUUCUUUGAAUUAACUUUUAUGAAGAUUACAACAUUUAUUAAAGAACAAGUAAUUCAAAUGUGCUAAUUUGUAACUUAAAUAAUAUGUUAUUGAAAAUCAAUAGUAAUCUGUGCAAUUAUUUAGAACUUAGACUAGUAGAAGCCUUUAAAGACAGGACUGUUUAUCAGUGAUGUUGCUUAGAAUUACUGGCAUACUUUGAUAAUAAAAAAGAGAUUAUUUUUAAGUUAGUUUUAUCAUUGCUUUUAAAUGCUCCACAAGCAAUGCACCUCCUUAUCCUAUUGCUCUGCCCUAGGUAAGUCCCUGGAAAUUAUAAUAGUAGUUAAUAUUUGUUGAGUAAUUCAGAGUUAAUGCAUGUUUAAUCAUUGUCAUGAAUAAAUCAGCUGAAUGAGUAGGAAUAUCCCAAAUGCCUUUCCAAUAUGUUUUUUGGUGGCUUUUGCCCAAGGUUUUUUUUUUUUUUCUCUUGGUUUAGAAGACUUAGGGCUGACUAUUCAAUACCAUUGAAAAUAUUAGAUCAAAGCAAAAAGAACAAAGCCAGAGGCAUCACAUUACCUGGCUUCAAACUAUACUACAAAGCUACAGUAAUCAAAACAGCAUGGUACUGGUGCAAAAACAGACAUACAGAAAAUAGAACAGAAUAGAUAACCCAGAAAUAAAGCCACACACUUACAGCCAUUUUAUCUUUGACUAAGUUGACAAAAAUAAGCAAUGGAGAAAGUACUCCCUAUUCAAUAAAUGGUGUUGGGAUAACUGGCUAACCAUAUGCAGAAUAAAGAGACUGAACACCUACCUUUUACCAUAUACAAAAAUUAAUUCAAAAUGGAUUAAAAUUUUAAAUGUAACACCUCAAACUAUAAGACUUUUAGGAGAAAACCUAGGAAACACCAUUCUGGACAUAGACCUUGGGAAAGAAUUUAGGGCAAAGUCCUAAAAAGUAAUUGCAACAAAAACAAAAAUUGACACAUGGAACCUAAUUAAACCAAAGAGCUUCUGCACAGCAAAAGAAACUAACAACAGAGUAAAAAGACAACCUACAGAAUGGGUAAAAUAUUCACAAACUUUGCAUCUGACAAAGGUCUAAUUGGGAAAAUCUAUAAGGAAGUUAAGCAAUUGAAAAAGCAAAAAUCAAAUUACCUCAUUAAAAAGUAGCCGAAGAACAUGAACAGACAGUUCUCAAAAGAAGACAUACAAGCAGCCAACAAGCAUAUAAAAAAUGCUCAACAUCAGUAAUUAUCAGAGAAUGCAAAUCAAAACCACAAUAAGAUACCAUCUCACACCAUUCAGAAUGGCUAUUAACAAAAAGUCAGAAAACAGCCUGCUGGUGAGGCUGUGGAGAAAAGGGAAUGUGUAUACACUGUUGGUGGAAAAGUAAAUUAGUUCAGUCACUGUGGAAAGCAGUCUGGAGAUUUCUCAAAAAAUUUAAAACAGAAGUAACUUUUGUCCCAACAAUCUCAUUACUGGGUAUAUAUCCAAAAGAAAAUAAAUCUUUCUACCAAAAAGACACACAUACUCACAUGUUCAUUGAAGCACUAUUCACAAUAUCAAAAACAUGGAAUCAACCUAGGUGCCCAUCAAUGGUAGAUUGGAUAAAGAAAAUAUAGUACAUGUACACUAAGGAACACUACACAGCCAUAAAAGGAAUAAAGUCAUGUUCUUUGCAGCAACUUGGAUGCAGUUGGAGACCAUAAUCCUAAGUGAAUUAAUGCAGGGACAGAAAACCAACUACUGCACAUUCUUGCCUAUAAGUGGGAGCUAAAUGUGGGGUACUCAUGGACAUAAAGAUGGCAACAAAUGAGAGUGGGGACUACUGGAAGGGAGGUUUUCCCCUGGAGGGUGGCAAGAGGUGAAAAACUAACUGUUGAGCACUAUGCUGACUUCCUGGGUGAUGGGUUCAAUCAUACCCCAAACUUCAGCAUCACAUAAUAUACCCAGGUAACGAACUUGCACAUAUACCCACCCUGAAUCUAAAAUAAAAGUUGAAAUUAUAAACUAACAUAAAAUAUAAAAUAAGUAGAUCAACAAGUUGAGUUGGGAUUGUAUGUGAUGGAAGGGAAGAACACAUGGGGUAAAGGCAAGUCUUUCAGGCUUAUUUCCUAUUUCUUUGAGCAUGGGUACUUGCAGCUCCAUUCCACUCUCUUCAUAAUUGUUUCCUCCACUAUCGAAUGACAACAUCAAAAUAUAUAAUAUUGGUAAAAGUAAUCAUAUUGUUUUCCUAUAUUCUUUACAUUAGUAUUAUGGAAAUACACUUGUAGUAUACUUUUUGUUUAUUUACAAUAAUCAUUUGGGAGAAUUUGUCUGCUGUGAAAUAGAAUAAUAAAAAUUGUUUUACUCUUAGUACAGAUGCUAGAGGAAAUUCUUUCACUUU